CCCCAAUCUGUUCAACCAAAAUCCCCAAUCGGGUUCUCCCCCAAAACCCCAACCUCUUCAACCAAAAUCCCCCCCGAAAAACCCAAAAUCCCCAAUCUCUCCUUCCGUUUAUCUCUCUACCCAUUUGUCUCUCUAGGUUUUAGGGUUUUGAGUGUGAGAGAGAUGGGGCAACAGUCUUUGAUCUACAGCUUCGUGGCUAAAGGAACAGUGGUUCUUGCCGAACCCAUACGUUUCUCAUCCGCCCCUUCCUUCUUCAACUACCAAAUCCACGGCCUUCUUAAACUCUCACAAAUGGUUAGUAAUGCUAUUGUGGAGUUACUUUGCUGUUGUCUUUACCGAUCCGGGCAGUGUGCCACCUAAUUGGAGGCCUGCGUCGGAUAAGGAGAGAGGUGAGACCGAUCCAUUGACUGAGGCAGAAUUGGGUGGUAUGUCAGCAAACCCAGUGAAUCCAAGGAUCCGUUAUUGUCGGAAGUGCAACCAGCCGAAACCACCUCGGUGCCAUCAUUGUUCUAUUUGUGGGAGGUGUGUGCUGAAAAUGGACCAUCAUUGUGUGUGGGUUGUCAAUUGUGUGGGGGCAUUGAACUACAAGUAUUUUCUUCUUUUC